rnacentral:rRNA from 1 species
GAUUAAGCUAUAAAGAGCGUAUGGAGGAUGCCUAGGCAUCAGGCGCCGAAGAAGGACGUGACAAGCUGCGAAAAGCUGUGGUGAGCCGCAAAUAGGCAUUGACCCGCAGAUAUCCGAAUGCGGAAACGCGCGUGGAGUAACUGCCACGCACCCGCACAUGAAUACAUAGUGUGCGAGGAGGGAACCCGGGGAACUGAACCAUCUAAGUACCCGGAGGAAAAGAAAGUAAAACAACGAUUACCUAAGUAGUGGCGAGCGAAAGGGUAAGAGCCCGAACGCAUGUAGCAAUACAUAGCGGGCAGCGAGAUGCAAGAAAGAUUAGUAGCCGAACCGGUGUGGAAACCCGGGCGAGACGAGGUAAAAGCCCUGUAGGCGACAUUGAUCUGAAGCUAGCUGCACAGAGUACCAUCGGACACGAGAAACCUGGUGGGAAGGAGGGAGGCCCAUCUCCCAAGGCUAAAUACGACCUGAUGACCGAUAGAGAACAGUACCGUGAGGGAACGGUGAAAAGAACCCCGGGAGGGGAGUGACAGAGAACCUGAAACCAUAUGCUUACAAGCAGAGGGAGCACAACGCACUUUUUAAGUGCAGGUGUGACCUCGUACUUUUUGUAGAACGGGCCGGCGAGUUACGGUGUGUAGCGAGGUUAAGAGAUUAAGUCUUGGAGCCGAAGCGAAAGCGAGUUUAAAUAGGGCGAAAGUUGCAUGCCGUAGACCCGAAACCAGAUGACCUAACCAUGAGCAGGAUGAAGCAGAAGUAAAAUUCUGUGGAGGUCCGAACGCACUCCUGUUGAAAUAGUAGGCGAUG